rnacentral:rRNA from 1 species
UACGGAGGGUGCAAGCGUUGCUCGGAAUUACUGGGCGUAAAGCGUGCGCAGGCGGUGAUGUAAGACAGUUGUGAAAUCCCCCGGGCUCAACCUGGGAACUGCAUCUGUGACUGCAUUGCUGGAGUGCGGCAGAGGGGGAUGGAAUUCCGCGUGUAGCAGUGAAAUGCGUAGAUAUGCGGAGGAACACCGAUGGCGGAAGG